GCAGGCGCCGUUUCGGGCACAGCAAGAGCCCCCUGUACCGGGAGAGCCCCGGGAGGGAGCCGCUGGGGUCGCUGAGCCCCGAGGAGAGGGACGCCAGGACGGUUUUCUGCAUGCAGCUCGCCGCCCGCAUCCGGCCCCGCGACCUCGAGGAUUUCUUCUCCGCCGUCGGAAAGGUCCGGGACGUCCGGAUCAUCUCGGACCGGAAUUCCCGACGUUCCAAGGGCAUCGCGUACGUGGAAUUCUGCGAGAUCCAAUCGGUGCCCUUGGCCAUCGGCCUGACGGGCCAGCGCCUCCUGGGGGUGCCCAUCAUCGUCCAGGCGU